rnacentral:rRNA from 1 species
GAACGCUAGCGGGAGGCCUAACACAUGCCAGCCGAGCGGUAGAGAUUCUUCGGAGUCUUGAGAGCGGCGUACGGGUGCGGAACACGUGUGCAACCUGCCUUUAUCAGGGGGAUAGCCUUUCGAAAGGAAGAUUAAUACCCCAUAAUAUAUUAAGUGGCAUCACUUGAUAUUGAAAACUCCGGUGGAUAAAGAUGGGCACGCGCAAGAUUAGAUAGUUGGUAGGGUAACGGCCUACCAAGUCAGUGAUCUUUAGGGGGCCUGAGAGGGUGAUCCCCCACACUGGUACUGAGACACGGACCAGACUCCUACGGGAGGCAGCAGUGAGGAAUAUUGGACAAUGGGUGAGAGCCUGAUCCAGCCAUCCCGCGUGAAGGAUGACGGCCCUAUGGGUUGUAAACUUCUUUUGUAUAGGGAUAAACCUUUCCACGUGUGGAAAGCUGAAGGUACUAUACGAAUAAGCACCGGCUAACUCCGUGCCAGCAGCCGCGGUAAUACGGAGGGUGCAAGCGUUAUCCGGAUUUAUUGGGUUUAAAGGGUCCGUAGGCGGAUCUGUAAGUCAGUGGUGAAAUCUCACAGCUUAACUGUGAAACUGCCAUUGAUACUGCAGGUCUUGAGUAAGGUAGAAGUAGCUGGAAUAAGUAGUGUAGCGGUGAAAUGCAUAGAUAUUACUUAGAACACCAAUUGCGAAGGCAGGUUACUAUGUCUUAACUGACGCUGAUGGACGAAAGCGUGGGGAGCGAACAGGAUUAGAUACCCUGGUAGUCCACGCCGUAAACGAUGCUAACUCGUUUUUGGGUCUUCGGAUUCAGAGACUAAGCGAAAGUGAUAAGUUAGCCACCUGGGGAGUACGUUCGCAAGAAUGAAACUCAAAGGAAUUGACGGGGGCCCGCACAAGCGGUGGAUUAUGUGGUUUAAUUCGAUGAUACGCGAGGAACCUUACCAAGGCUUAAAUGGGAAUUGAUCGGUUUAGAAAUAGACCUUCCUUCGGGCAAUUUUCAAGGUGCUGCAUGGUUGUCGUCAGCUCGUGCCGUGAGGUGUUAGGUUAAGUCCUGCAACGAGCGCAACCCCUGUCACUAGUUGCCAUCAUUAAGUUGGGGACUCUAGUGAGACUGCCUACGCAAGUAGAGAGGAAGGUGGGGAUGACGUCAAAUCAUCACGGCCCUUACGCCUUGGGCCACACACGUAAUACAAUGGCCGGUACAGAGGGCAGCUACACAGCGAUGUGAUGCAAAUCUCGAAAGCCGGUCUCAGUUCGGAUUGGAGUCUGCAACUCGACUCUAUGAAGCUGGAAUCGCUAGUAAUCGCGCAUCAGCCAUGGCGCGGUGAAUACGUUCCCGGGCCUUGUACACACCGCCCGUCAAGCCAUGGAAGUCUGGGGUACCUGAAGUCGGUGACCGUAAAAGGAGCUGCCUAGGGUAAAACAGGUAACUAGGGCU